rnacentral:rRNA from 1 species
ACGCUCGACACCUACGGGAGGCAGCGGUGGGGAAUAUUGCACAAUGGGGGAAACCCUGAUGCAGCGACGCCGCGUGAGUGAAGAAGUAAUUCGUUAUGUAAAGCUCUAUCAGCAGGGAAGAAAGUGACGGUACCUGAGUAAGAAGCCCCGGCUAACUACGUGCGAGCAGCCGCGGUAAUCUGAGCGGGCUGGCAAGGC